rnacentral:rRNA from 1 species
UACGUAGGAGGCAAGCGUUGUCCGGAGUUACUGGGCGUAAAGGGCGCGCAGGCGGCCACUCGCGUUCCUGGUGAAAGCUCCCGGCUUAACCGGGAGAGGUUCAGGAAAACGGGGUGGCUUGAGCGUCGGAGAGGGGCAUGGAACUCCGGGUGGAGCGGUGAAAUGCGUAGAGAUCCGGAAGAACACCAAUGGCGAAGGCAGUGCCCUGGCCGACUGCUGACGCUCAGGCGCGAAAGCGUGGGGAGCAAACAGG